GACGAACGCUGGCGGCGUGCUUAACACAUGCAAGUCGAACGGAAAGGCCCCCUUGUGGGGUACUCGAGUGGCGAACGGGUGAGUAACACGUGAGUAACCUACCCUUGACUUUGGGAUAACUUCAGGAAACUGGGGCUAAUACCGGAUAGGAGCUCCUGCUGCAUGGUGGGGGUUGGAAAGUUUCGGCGGUUGGGGAUGGACUCGGGGCUUAUCAGCUUGUUGGUGGGGUAGUGGCUCACCAAGGCUUUGACGGGUAGCCGGCCUGCGAGGGUGACCGGCCACAUUGGGACUGAGAGACGGCCCAGACUCCUACGGGAGGCAGCAGGGGGGAAUAUUGCACAAUGGGCGGAAGCCUGAUGCAGCAACGCCGCGUGCGGGAUGACGGCCUUCGGGUUGUAAACCGCUUUCGCCUGUGACGAAGCGUGAGUGACGGUAAUGGGUAAAGAAGCACCGGCUAACUACGUG
rnacentral:rRNA from 1 species